UAGGGAAUCUUCGGCAAUGGACGAAAGUCUGACCGAGCAACGCCGCGUGAGUGAAGAAGGUUUUCGGAUCGUAAAACUCUGUUGUUAGAGAAGAACAAGGACGUUAGUAACUGAACGUCCCCUGACGGUAUCUAACCAGAAAGCCACGGCUAACUACGUGCCAGCAGCCGCGGUAAU
rnacentral:rRNA from 1 species